rnacentral:rRNA from 1 species
UACGACUACAUAUCAGGCAUAUCAAUAAGCGGAGGAAAAGAAACUAACUAGGAUUCCCUCAGUAACGGCGAGUGAAGCGGGAAGAGCUCAAAUUUGAAAUCUUCAAGGUUUUACCUUGACGAAUUGUAGUUUAAAGAAGUGUUUUCUGUUGGUGUUUUGGUAAAAGUUCUUUGGAAUAGGACAUCAUAGAGGGUGAGAAUCCCGUAUUUGACCAUUACUUCCAGCGUUGUGAUACACUUUCAAAGAGUCGGAUUGUUUGGGAACGCAGUCCAAAAUGGGUGGUAAAUUUCAUCUAAAGCUAAAUAUUGGCGAGAGACCGAUAGCGAACAAGUACCGUGAGGGAAAGAUGAAAAGAACUUUGAAAAGAGAGUUAAACAGUACGUGAAAUUGUCAAAAGGGAAGCGUUUGACACCAGUGUUGUUUUCUCGAAAAUCAAUUAAAAAUGACUGGAUUUUGUGUUGUAUUGACUUUAUCAGCUUUCUGCACUUUUUUCUUGUCUUUUUUAAUGCACUUUUCGUUUAACAAGUCAACAUCAAUUUCUUUUGUUGUAAAAGAGUCAUUGGAAGGUGGCUUUCACUUUCGGUGAAAGUGUUUAUAGCCUUUGACUUCUGCAAUCGGAGAGAUUGAGGUCUGCAGCGUAGAUCCUUCGGGGUUAGAUACAUUAGAUGCUAAGUUAUAGCUUUGUAUAGACAACUUGUUGACUAUGAUUAAGUCAUGUAGCUUACUCGCUUGUACGCUAUUUUACCUACGCUUAGGAUGUUGAUCUCUCACAGUCGAGC